UACAGAGGUCCCGAGCGUUGUUCGGAUUCACUGGGCGUAAAGGGUGCGUAGGUGGCUUGAAAAGUUUGAUGUGAAAGCUCAGGGCUUAACCCCGAAAUGGCAUUGAAUACUGUCGAGCUGGAGGUUUGGAGGGGGGACUGGAAUUCUUGGUGUAGCAGUGAAAUGCGUAGAUAUCAAGAGGAACACCAGUGGCGAAGGCGAGUCCCUGGACAACACCUGACACUGAGGCACGAAAGCUAGGGGAGCAAACAGG
rnacentral:rRNA from 1 species